rnacentral:rRNA from 1 species
UACGAAGGGUGCAAGCGUUACUCGGAAUUACUGGGCGUAAAGCGCACGUAGGCGGUUCGUUAUGUCGGAUGUGAAAGCCCUUGGCUUAACCGAGGAAGUGCAUCCGAAACUGGCGAGCUAGAGUACUAAAGAGGAUCGCGGAAUUCCCGGUGUAGAGGUGAAAUUCGUAGAUAUCGGGAGGAACACCGGUGGCGAAGGCGGCGAUCUGGGUAGAUACUGACGCUGAGGUGCGAAAGCGUGGGGAGCAAACAGG